rnacentral:rRNA from 1 species
GUGGGGAAUCUUGCGCAAUGGGCGAAAGCCUGACGCAGCCAUGCCGCGUGAAUGAUGAAGGUCUUAGGAUUGUAAAAUUCUUUCACCGGGGACGAUAAUGACGGUACCCGGAGAAGAAGCUCCGGCUUACUUCGUGCCAGCAGCCGCGGUAAUACGAAGGGGGCUAGCGUUGCUCGGAAUUACUGGGCGUAAAGGGCGCGUAGGCGGACAGCUUAGUCAGAGGUGAAAGCCCAGGGCUCAACCUUGGAAUUGCCUUUGAUACUGGCUGUCUUGAGUUUGGGAGAGGUGAGUGGAACUCCGAGUGUAGAGGUGAAAUUCGUAGAUAUUCGGAAGAACACCAGUGGCGAAGGCGACUCACUGGCCCAAUACUGACGCUGAGGCGCGAAAGCGUGGGGAGCAAACAGGAUUAGAAACCCGUGUAGUCC